GACAGAGGGGGCAAGCGUUGCUCGGAAUUACUGGGCGUAAAGGGCGCGUAGGCGGCACGGCAAGUCAGGAGUGAAAGGCCUGGGCUCAACCGAGGAACUGCUUUUGAGACUGCCGAGCUAGAGUGCAGAAGGGGCAACUGGAAUUCCCAGUGUAGCGGUGAAAUGCGUAGAUAUUGGGAAGAACACCUGAGGCGAAGGCGGGUUGCUGGGCUGACACUGACGCUGAGGCGCGAAAGCCAGGGGAGCAAACGGG
rnacentral:rRNA from 1 species